AAUGUGAAGUGCACAUUUGUGAAAAUAGGGAAUUCACUGUAUAAAAAAUAGAAGUGCGCUUUAUUUGGUAAGUUCACAUUUUUCUGUCCAAAAAGUUCAUUGUGGAAGUUCACUGGUUAGUUAAAUCACCUCUUGGGACAGUCCCUUUAUUCUGUAUGUAUUUGAUAUAGAGACAGAGGUUGAUCCUUCUACGGAAGAAAGGUAGUUCACAUUGUUCACCAUUGUGAGUUCACUUGUUAUUUUCUUGGAGUUCGUUUUCUGACUGACGCUUUAGUUCAAAAGCGAAAAAGAGAAGAUACAUUGCUUUGAAGUUCACCUUUUGUCUCUCUAAAAAGUUCAGUUUUAAAUUACCAGAAUGUUCCCCUUUUUUGAAUAAAUAAAUUUAGUUUAGCAUAAAAAGGAAGUACACUUAUUAAACAACAGUAGCUUAUUAGCUUAAAAAAAGAAGUUCAACAGAGUAGAGGUUAUUAGCUUCAAAAAUCCCGAGGUUCAGUUUUGUAUUCUUCAGAAGUUCUGUUUAGUAUUUCUUCUGAAAUUCAGUUCAAGGUCAUGUAAAAUCAAAAUUAGAAACUUCACAUUCUCUAUUACGUACAGUACACUUAUUCGGUAUUGGUCGUGCAGAUUCCUUAGUGGUACUCAUAUAUGGUUAAAAAAUGGGUACUGAAUAUCUAUUGCAUAUUUUGAAUAUGGGACAUAAGGCUUUUCAAUUUGCCUUUUUAUUUCCAUUUUUGUUUUUAUGGAUAGAGAGAACGGGCAGAUUGAAGUUUAUUUUUUCUCGCCUAGGAGUUCAAUAAUAAUUCAUUUAUAUGUUGAUGCAUGUCUGACAACACGUUAAUUCUACAAGUUCAUUUUUCAGGAAGUUCGCUUUUCUCUCUGAAAUUCCAUUCUCCGUUGGCAGGAAGCACUGCCGCUGGGAGUUCACAAGCACCACCGCUGGGAGUCCAUCAUUGCCGGUCUUCUGCUCUGAACCUCCCCGAGUGACGUUCUGAACCUGAUCCGGUUAUUCACAUUGUUAUUAGGGUCCAGUUCACUUUCUUAUUUUGACAGUUCUUUUGUCUGUCUAACAAUUACAGUUUAAAGCACACAUGCGGUUGAAACCUCCGGGCGCGAAGCAUCAGUCCGCGAAGAUACAGCAGAGGUAAGAGGAGGACCUACCUCUCCGUCAUAUUGCUCUAUGCCAGCACAACACGCAGAAUCUAGCAUUGUCGCUGGCCUGAUAGAAGGUUUCAUGGCUUGACUGGAGCUCCUAGGUUUGGAGCCAAGAAAGGCAGCAAGCAGGGGACAUCAACUUCUGGACUUCAAUCCAGCGGCAGUUGCAGCUUGAAAUAGAGCACCAAAAGAGUUCACUGGGCAUCCCCUGGAAGUUCCUUGUGCGCGGUCAGGAAGUCCACCAGCACAUACCCUAGCAGUCCUUUGCACGCGGCCGAGGAUUAAAACUGUAACUUGCUGAAGUGCUACUGUGUCACCGUGGCUCAAAUGGUUGCAUCAUUCAUCUUGUCACCGUAGCUCCAUGAUCGCAUGCCGUUGAGAAGUUUUGUAGCAUUUUUCCUCCGUGAAGUGUUACUGUGUCUGACUUUCACUUUUGCCUUUAACUCUGAUUACUUGUAAUAAUUUGGGGAAAUGAAUAACAUGUACUUGUGUUGAUGUGUAAUAGAAAAAAAUAAGAAGUUCAUUUUUAUUUA